GGGCGAGGGGAUAUCACGUGACUGUGCACGAUCAGCGGGCCGGUGCGCUCGGCGGCGGGGUCAUUCGCUAUACACCAACCAUAUUUCCACCACUACUGAGUCGCCCAGUUGCUAACAAAGGAAUCAGGAUACCUGAUGGCCAGAUCCUCAGCUGAUGUAAACUGUCAUCGUUCUACAGACUUCAAUGGAGCAACGACAGUAUAUCCCAGCUCAACCUCUGGAUACUGGUCUGGAGAGCGUCCAGUGAUUACAGCAGGGCUUGAUGGGCUUCAUGGAAGGGAGCAUUACUGAAGGACCAACUGUGCUUUGAGACAAGACCACUGUCUCCGAGACAUUGAGUGUCUGAACUGCAAUGACCAUCUCUUUCAUUCCUGUACGGCCUGUCCCAUGACGGUGCUGAAUCAACAACCGUGAUCAUCAUCAUCACUGGGCCUGAGAUUCUCCUCUUAUUUACACUGAUGUACAAUGGAAUGACACCAGUGUAAAAUCAAUGUAUGCAAGAGGAGAAACAAGCCUGUUAAAUUUUUACAUCCACACCAUAAACGAAACCUCACGUCUUCUUAAUUUGCAUUUAGCAUGAGGCCUUUAAUUAAUGGGAAAAUAAACAUUUCCACAUUAUAUUUGGGUUUGAUCAUAUUGUGUAUAAAUAAGGCCCUACAGCAGAAUAUAUAAUCAUUUGGCAAUUUUGUUUUCACUCAAGACAGAAUGUUCUUGCUAACACGUUGGCAAGGCUCAUGCAUUACCGAUGAGACUGUACUUUGGAAGCACAUCAUGGAGGGCCCUGUGGGAGGAUGAGAACAGCUAAAAUUGUGGCAGGGAGGGAUGGAAAAGUCAUUUAUAUUACUUCUGGUAUUUAUAAUGGAUUAUUUGAAAAGAGGAAAAUAAAGGAAAUUAGUUUACAUCACUGGCUCCGUGCAGCAUCUCUGCGGCCGUCUCAUACUCUGGCUUCAUUUUCUUACAGUGCCCGCACCCUGCCAGAGAAAACCCAAAUUAAACUCUACAUUACGCAAUAUUGGCAGUUGGAUUUAGAGCUUCACUAAAAACAAAGAAUCACUCCAUGGUUAGUCAUUGCCCCAUCCAGCCACUGUCAA